AACAAUUAGAUAACCGCAAAGGCUCUAAUUAGAAUCGGAAUUGGUUAGAGUCUAGGAUAAUUUGAACGUUGCUGCCCGGCCUUGCAUGAAGUUGUUAUGUGUUCUUGAUGGUUUUUCGUGUUAUGUGUUGCAUGAGUAUGUUGAUCAUUUGUAUAUAAUAAUCUUAGGUUUAAUUUUCAGUAGGUUAUUUGUUAGAAUUAAUCAAUCUUAAACCCCCAAUAUUUCAAUAUAUAUGUGAAUACUUGUUUAUAAGUUGUUUGGUUUAUCUUCUUUCGAUCGCCCUUUGGUUUCCCCGGCUAGAACGAUCCCUACUUGUCCAUAUUACUACGAUUGCAGGGUAAUUAAAUUGAAGUUGUUUGACCCCGGUUACGCGACACGUCACCUUAUGAUGAGUGAUAGGAAGACGAUGACCGUGGGGCAGCAUCGAAGUAAUGUACUGUAGAUAAUCAUCAACAGCCUUCACGGUUGAUUUUGUCUCAACUUUAAUUUUCAUUACGUCCAUCACACUUUCAAGAACGGUCUUCUAACAACCGGGGUACAUAGGGGUCUGUUGGAGCAAGCAGUUUGUUGUACUUAGGGUUUAUGAGUCCAUAGGGGUACAUAGGGGUCUGUUGGAAAACAAGCAGUGUUGACAACUCUAGGGAAGGGCUGCACCAGUUCAGGCAUAUACUGUCCUUGAGCGCAUACAUCGCUCUUAUAAGGAAACAUAUCGUUGAUGAAGGCCGUUGUUGGAUCGUUGGAUGUACUGCCUCUCUCAGAAAAUUGGCCAUGAUCAUGCGGACCCCUUGAUGAUGUUUCACCGUGAUAUAACUAACAUGUGUACUUUUCCCAAAACCCAUUACUCUUCAGGUGCUGCCAUACUUUGUCAAUUUGUCAAUCGCAAAUCGAUGCAUAUCGCUGCGACACUGACAUUUCGUGCACGGGCAAUAGAAAAUUGUAUUCCCGUUAGCAUUAGCCAGCGCAUAUUCCAGAAAACUCAUAACUCCUUUACCAUAUCUUUUGUCCCAUUUUGGAAGCGAAAUCCAACUCUUAUCCAUAUCUUGAAAAUAUAACAAAAUAUAUAUGUAUAACUCUAAUUAAUUAAAUUCAAUAUAUAAAAUCUCAAUUCAUUUAGUAUUCUACGUACUACAACUAAUUAAUAACAAAUUAAUUAAC
rnacentral:lncRNA from 1 species